rnacentral:rRNA from 10 species
GGGACACGUGAAAUCCUGUCUGAAGAUCGGAGGACCACCUUCGAAGGCUAAGUACUCCUUACUGACCGAUAGUGAACCAGUACCGUGAGGGAAAGGUGAAAAGCACCCCGACGAGGGGAGUGAAACAGUACCUGAAACCGAACGCCUACAAUCAGUCGGAGCCUCCUUGCGAGGUGACGGCGUACCUUUUGUAUAAUGGGUCAGCGACUUA